UACCAUAUUCUCUGUACUACAGCUGCUCUAUUUAAUAUAAAAAGAUCACGUGCUAAUUACGUGCAAAAGUAGUUUGAUUCUUUGACAAAUAGCCAAGCAAAGAAUGGUAUGUCCUUUGUCUAUCAUGGUGUUACUUUUAGUAUCAUGGGGAUAUUUUUAUAAUUGGAAGAAAGCAAACACAUCAUUUAUUGACUAGGUCAUGUUUUUAUAGCAUUACAGAAAAUUAGAUAAACCUUUUAAAGUCAAACUUAUUCCUUUACUGAAAAUUUAAAACAACACUUUUCCCAUCAAGAUACCUUAACAUUAAAACUCUGUAAUCUUACAAUACUCCACAACAACACAUAAAAAAUAGAGAAUUUUGUUUUCAAAUUAUUGGAAUUAUUGGACUCGGUCGGCGAAUCAUACCACAAUGGGUCUCUCAACAUUUGCUAUUUGGGUUCUUAUAGGCGUUCUAGCAGCGGCCAUCGCAAUUACUUCUUGCGGUUUAAUUCUGGGACUCUUUUAUGACAGGUAUACCGUGAAAAAAACCAAUGGAACAAAUACUAUAGCGACUAUAGCAUUUGAUAUAUAACCGAGAGUGUUGUGCAUAUUGUGUUGGUAAAAUAAAUUAAAUUGUCGAGCGAUUCAAAUGGAAGUUUGAGUGAACAUGUAAUAAAAAGCGUUAAAUAUA